rnacentral:rRNA from 1 species
CACUGGUCGAGCGAGCCUGCGCCGAAAAUGUAACGGGGCUAAGUCUGGUACCGAAGCUUCGGGUUCUAAUUUAUUAGAGCGGUAGCGGAGUAUUCUCAGAUAGAUACGAGGUGUACCGUAAGGAGCGCUGAUGGAUCUGAGAAGAGCUUAUGCAGGCAUGAGUAGCGAUAAACAGAGUGAGAAACUCUGUCGCCGUAAGCCCAAGGUUUCCUGGGGAAGGAUAAUCCUCCCAUGGGUUAGUCGGAACCUAAGCUGAGCCCGAUAGGGGUAGGCGAUGGCAAGCUGGUUAAUAUUCCAGCACCACCAUUGACGACGUUGAACUAAGCAGGGACGGAGAAGGAUAGGC